UACGGGGGGGGCAAGCGUUGUUCGGAAUUACUGGGCGUAAAGGGCUCGUAGGCGGCCAACUAAGUCGGAUGUGAAAUCCCCAGGCUCAACUUGGGAACUGCAUCCGAUACUGGAUGGCUUGAAUUCGGGAGAGGGAUGCAGAAUUCCAGGUGUAGCGGUGAAAUGCGUAGAUAUCAGGAGGAACACCAGCGGCGAAGGCGGCGCUCUGGGCCGGUACUGACGCUGAGGAGCGAAAGCGUGGGGAGCGAACAGG
rnacentral:rRNA from 1 species